rnacentral:rRNA from 1 species
CCUACGGGAGGCAGCAGUGGGGAAUAUUGGACAAUGGGCGAAAGCCUGAUCCAGCAAUGCCGCGUGAGUGAUGAAGGCCUUAGGGUCGUAAAGCUCUUUUACCAGGGAUGAUAAUGACAGUACCUGGAGAAUAAGCUCCGGCUAACUCCGUGCCAGCAGCCGCGGUAAUACGGAGGGAGCUAGUGUUGUUCGGAAUUACUGGGCGUAAAGCGUGCGUAGGCGGUUAUUCAAGUCAGAGGUGAAAGCCCGGGGCUCAACCCCGGAACGGCCUUUGAAACUAGAUAACUAGAAUCUUGGAGAGGUCAGUGGAAUUCCGAGUGUAGAGGUGAAAUUCGUAGAUAUUCGGAAGAACACCAGUGGCGAAGGCGACUGACUGGACAAGUAUUGACGCUGAGGUACGAAAGCGUGGGGAGCAAACAGGAUUAGAUACCCUGGUAGUCCACGCCGUAAACGAUGAUAACUAGCUGUCCGGACACUUGGUGUUUGGGUGGCGCAGCUAACGCAUUAAGUAUCCGCCUGGGGAGUACGGUCGCAAGNUUAAAACUCAAAUGAAUUGAACCGGUNUGNGAGUGCGAGCGACGACGAGGAGAGG